rnacentral:rRNA from 1 species
AGCGAACAUUGGCGGUAGGCUUAACACAUGCAAGUCGAGCGAGGCGUAAUAGUCGAGCGGCGAACGGGUGCGUAAUACAUGGGAAUCUACCUCGAAGUAUGGGAUAACGUUCAGAAAUGGACGCUAAUACCGUAUAACCCAUAUUGGAAAGCGUUGCAGCGCUUUGAGAUGAGCCCAUGGCUGAUUAGCUAGUUGGUGAGGUAACGGCUCACCAAGGCGACGAUCAGUAGCUGGUCUGAGAGGAUGACCAGCCACACUGGAACUGAGACACGGUCCAGACUCCUACGGGAGGCAGCAGUGGGGAAUCUUGCGCAAUGGGGGCAACCCUGACGCAGCCAUACCGCGUGAGUGAUGAAGGUCUUCGGAUUGUAAAGCUCUUUCGGCGGGGACGACGAUGACGGUACCCGCAAAAGAAGUCACGGCUAACUUCGUGCCAGCCGCCGCGGUAA